rnacentral:rRNA from 1 species
CAGCAGCCGCGGUAAUACGGAGGGCGCAAGCGUUAAUCGGAAUUACUGGGCGUAAAGCGUGCGUAGGCGGUUCGUUAAGUCUGUUGUGAAAGCCCCGGGCUCAACCUGGGAAUGGCAAUGGAUACUGGCGAGCUAGAGUGUGUCAGAGGAUGGUGGAAUUCCCGGUGUAGCGGUGAAAUGCGUAGAGAUCGGGAGGAACAUCAGUGGCGAAGGCGGCCAUCUGGGACAACACUGACGCUGAGGCACGAAAGCGUGGGGAGCAAACAGGAUUAGAUACCCCAGUAGUCCCUGUCUCUUAUAC